UUUAUUUUUACACCAACAGCUCACUCCAUUAAAGAUUAAAUGUGAUCUUAUUUUUGAAAAGUAUCAGAGCUUAUUAGAGAAGUUUCACAUUAUCAGUGUCUCAGUUUCCGACACAAACUAAAGUUCCUGGAACAAUUGUUAAACCACAUUCAAAGGUU